CCUACGGGAGGCUGCAGUGAGGAAUAUUGGUCAAUGGGCGAGAGCCUGAACCAGCCAAGUCGCGUGAGGGAGUACUGCCCUAUGGGUUGUAAACUUCUUUUGUCGGGGAGCAAAAGCCGGACGUGUCCGGCUGUGAGAGUACCCGAAGAAAAAGCAUCGGCUAACUCCGUGCCAGCAGCCGCGGUAAUACGGAGGCUGCGAGCGUUAUCCGGAUUUAUUGGGUUUAAAGGGUGCGCAGGCGGAUUUUUAAGUCAGCGGUAAAAUCGUGGGGCUCAACCCCAUCCAGCCGUUGACAUUGGGGAUCUAGAGUGUGCGAGAGGUAUGCGGAAUGCGUGGUGUAGCGGUGAAAUGCAUAGAGAUCACGCAGAACCCCGAUUGCGAAGGCAGCAUACCGGUGCACAACUGACGCUCAGGCACGAAAGCGUGGGUAUCGAACAGGAUUAGAUACCCUGGUAGUC
rnacentral:rRNA from 1 species